GAUGAACGCUGGCGGCGUGCCUAACACAUGCAAGUCGAACGGAAAGGCGCUGGUUGCCGGGUACUCGAGUGGCGAACGGGUGUGUAACACGUGGGUGAUCUGCCCUGCACUUCUGGAUAAAACUGGGGGAAACGGUCUAAAAUCGGAUAGGAGCCAUUUUUCGUGUGGUGGUUGGAAAGUUUUUUCGGUUUUGGGUGAGCUCGCGGCCUAUCCGCUUGUUGGUGGGGUAAUGGGGUACCAAGGCGGCGACGGGUAGCCGGCCUGAGAGGGUGGACGGCGACAUUGAGACUGAGGGACGGCCCAGACGCCGACGGGAGGCAACAGUGGGGAAGAUUGCACAAGGGGCGCAGGCGUGAUGCAGCGACGCUGCGGGGGGGAUGACGGCCUUCUGGUUGUAAACUCCGUUCGCUAGGGACGAAGCGUUUUGUGACGGUACCUAGAUAAGAAGCACCGGCUAACUACGUG
rnacentral:rRNA from 1 species